GAUGAACGCUGGCGGCGUGCCUAAUACAUGCAAGUCGAACGGAGAUAUUGUAGCAAUACGGUAUUUUAGUGGCGAACGGGUGAGUAACGCGUUGGUGACCUGCCCCGAAGAGGGGGAUAACAGUCCGAAAGGAUUGCUAAUACCCCAUGUGGUUAUAAGGGUUAGAGGCUUUAUAACUAAAGCAGUAAUGCGCUUCGGGUGGGACCUGCGUCCCAUCAGCUAGUUGGUAGGGUAACGGCUUACCAAGGCAAUGACGGGUAGGGGGCCUGAGAGGGUGGCCCCCCACAAUGGAACUGAAACACGGUCCAUACACCUACGGGUGGCAG
rnacentral:rRNA from 1 species